rnacentral:RNase_P_RNA from 1 species
GCGAUGAAUCAGGCAGCCGCCCGGCCCGCAAGCCGGGAGGAAAGUCCGGACUCCGCAGGGCGCGAUGCCGGGUAACGCCCGGACAGGGGAUGUAAAAAGUCCUUCGGGGCAAAGGAUCCCUUGAUAGACAGUGCAACAGAAAAAAAACCCCCUUAUUACCCCCGGGUAAAAGGGAAGGGUGAAAUGGCGGGGUAAGAGCCCACCCCGGCGCCGGCAACGGCGCCGGUAUUUUCCGGGGUUCCCGGAAAAUGGCAAACCUCAUCGGGAGCAAGGUCAAGCAGCGUGUAAAAGGCCUGCCUUUUACAAUGGAGGUUCCGCCCCGGCAGGGGAGGGGCCUUCGUGCCGGCGGCCCGCCGGUUAAACGCGGGUAGACCGCAGGGAGGCAGCCGGUAACGGCUGUCCCAGACAGAUGGCUGCCCUAAGCCCGGCUUUGGGGCCCCGGCGUGGAGUUUUCACGGCGAACCUCAAAAUCCGGGCUUAAACAGAAUCCGGCUUAUGGUUCAUCGCUUUU